GAUGAACGCUAGCGAUAGGCCUAACACAUGCAAGUCGAGGGGCAUCACAUGAAGUAGCAAUACGGAUGGUGGCGACCGGCGCACGGGUGAGUAACACGUAUGCAACCUGCCUUCAACAAGGGGAUAACCCGUUGAAAGACGGACUAAUACCCUAUAACACAGGGGUCCCGCAUGGGAAUAUUUGUUAAAGGACAACCGGUUGAAGAUGGGCAUGCGUUCCAUUAGCUAGUUGGCGGGGUAACGGCCCACCAAGGCAACGAUGGAUAGGGGAACUGAGAGGUUUAUCCCCCACACUGGUACUGAGACACGGACCAGACUCCUACGGGAGGCAGCAGUGAGGAAUAUUGGUCAAUGGACGCAAGUCUGAACCAGCCACGUCGCGUGAAGGAAGACGGCCCUACGGGUUGUAAACUUCUU
rnacentral:rRNA from 1 species